rnacentral:rRNA from 1 species
AUUGAACGCUGGCGGCAGGCCUAACACAUGCAAGUCGAACGGUAACAGGAAGAAGCUUGCUUCUUUGCUGACGAGUGGCGGACGGGUGAGUAAUGUCUGGGAAACUGCCUGAUGGAGGGGGAUAACUACUGGAAACGGUAGCUAAUACCGCAUAACGUCGCAAGACCAAAGAGGGGGACCUUCGGGACUCUUGCCAUCGGAUGUGCCCAGAUGGGAUUAGCUAGUAGGUGGGGUAACGGCUCACCUAGGCGACGAUCCCUAGCUGGUCUGAGAGGAUGACCAGCCACACUGGAACUGAGACACGGUCCAGACUCCUACGGGAGGCAGCAGUGGGGAAUAUUGCACAAUGGGCGCAAGCCUGAUGCAGCCAUGCCGCGUGUAUGAAGAAGGCCUUCGGGUUGUAAAGUACUUUCAGCGGGGAGGAGGGGAGUAAAGUUAAUACCCUUGCUCAUUGACGUUACCCGCAGAAGAAGCACCGGCUAACUCCGUG